rnacentral:rRNA from 1 species
CAGCCGCCGCGGUAAAACGUAGGUGGCAAGCGUUGUCCGGAAUUAUUGGGCGUAAAGGGCUCGCAGGCGGUUUCUUAAGUCUGAUGUGAAAGCCCCCGGCUCAACCGGGGAGGGUCAUUGGAAACUGGGAAACUUGAGUGCAGAAGAGGAGAGUGGAAUUCCACGUGUAGCGGUGAAAUGCGUAGAGAUGUGGAGGAACACCAGUGGCGAAGGCGACUCUCUGGUCUGUAACUGACGCUGAGGAGCGAAAGCGUGGGGAGCGAACAGGAUUAGAUACCCGGGUAGUCCCUGUCUCUUAUAC